rnacentral:tRNA from 1 species
CGCGACGAUCCGGAUGGUUCCGGUGCUCGGGUCAUGACCGGGAAGCAGCGGGUUCGAAUCCCGCCGUCGCGU